rnacentral:rRNA from 1 species
CCUACGGGUGGCAGCAGUAGGGAAUCUUCCACAAUGGGCGAAAGCCUGAUGCAGCAACGCCGCGUGGGUGAAGAAGGUCUUCGGAUCGUAAAACCCUGUUGUUAGAGAAGAAAGUGCGUGAGAGUAACUGUUCACGUUUCGACGGUAUCUAACCAGAAAGCCACGGCUAACUACGUGCCAGCAGCCGCGGUAAUACGUAGGUGGCAAGCGUUAUCCGGAUUUAUUGGGCGUAAAGGGAACGCAGGCGGUCUUUUAAGUCUGAUGUGAAAGCCUUCGGCUUAACCGGAGUAGGGCAUUGGAAACUGGGAGACUUGAGUGCAGAAGAGGAGAGUGGAAGUCCAUGUGUAGCGGUGAAAUGCGUAGAUAUAUGGAGGAACACCAGUGGCGAAAGCGACUCUCUGGGCUGUAACUGACGCUGAGGUUCGAAAGCGUGGGUAGCAAACAGGAUUAGAUACCCUUGUAGUC